rnacentral:rRNA from 1 species
CUUGGUCAUUUAGAGGAAGUAAAAGUCGUAACAAGGUUUCCGUAGGUGAACCUGCGGAAGGAUCAUUACAAGUGAGGCUACCGAACGUUGGAAACAGCGGUUAGGAGCUUACACCCACCCGUGUUUACAUACUAUUGUUGCUUUGGCGGGCCGUGGCCUCCACUGCGGGCUCUGCUCGUGUGUGCCCGCCAGAGGACCAAACUCUGAAUGUUAGUGAUGUCUGAGUACUAUCUAAUAGUUAAAACUUUCAACAACGGAUCUCUUGGUUCUGGCAUCGAUGAAGAACGCAGCGAAAUGCGAUAAGUAAUGUGAAUUGCAGAAUUCAGUGAAUCAUCGAAUCUUUGAACGCACAUUGCGCCCUGUGGUAUUCCGCAGGGCAUGCCUGUUCGAGCGUCAUUUAACCACCCACGCCUAGCGUGGUAUUGGGGCACGCGGUCUCGCGGCCCUCAAAAUUAGUGGCGGCGCCGGUGGGCUCUAAGCGUAGUACAUACUCCCGCUAUAGAGUUCCCCCGGUGGCUCGCCAGAACCCCCAAUUUUUUACAGGUUGACCUCGGAUCAGGUAGGGAUACCCGCUGAACUUAAGCAUAUCAAUAAGCGGAGGA